CUGUCCCAUCCAGUGUCUGAAUGAAAAAGUUAUGGCACAAAGAUCUUGGAAGUCUGUAUUUCACCACAUUUUCCUUUCCAAUAUCUGGCAGGUGGUUAAAAUCUCCCAUACAAAUGAGGAACUGUGAUCCAGAGGCUCCCUCAGGUUUUAGAGAGAUUUCAUCCACUUUCUUGCUGUGCUGGUUUGACCCCAGUUGAAGGCCAGGUGCCACCAAAGCCACUCUAUCACUCCCUUCUCGACUGGACAGGCAGGAGUAAGAUGGCUAAGCAGCAGAACUCAUUAAAGAAGUAUGAGAUUCCCCAGGGCUAUUGAAUCAAGCUUGAAGUAAAAAAUGUCUUAAUCAUCUCUUUUAA